CUAAGGAUGGUUCUUCAGCGAGCUCACGCUCACUAUCGAACCGUUUUAGAAACAUUCAGGGGCCAACAGUUUCAGGAUUGUUGAGCUCCAUUGGCGGGAUUUCGCCGUCUACGUUUCUCUUUCUUCGCGGACGAACACGCGCCAGGGGCUGAGCGCUUGAGCGAUGCGUCGGCAUGAGCCGACGCGCGCCAGUGUGCCUCUCGUGUUAGGGGCUUGUAGCUCAGUUGGUUAGAGCGCGCGCUUGAUAAGCGUGAGGUCGGAAGUUCAAGUCUUCCCAGGCCCACCAGCCUUCGCGCUUCGCUGCUUCGGCUAGGCAGGCCCUUCGAAACGAAGGCUGCUGCGCCGUAGCCUUGGCGAAGGCGAGCGGCAUCAACAAUGCGCUUCGUCUUCUGGUACGGGGCCAUAGCUCAGCUGGGAGAGCGCGUGCUUUGCAAGCAUGAGGUCGUCGGUUCGAUCCCGUCUGGCUCCACCAGAUGGAAUCGAAGAUCGAGAAUGCCUCGACCAAAUCGUCCGCGAAACAUCACUUCGCAUGCGUGAGCCUGGAUAGGCUGCGACAUGCGUGUUUUCUGACAUCGUAAAGAGGAGAUCGAUCCGAGUUGGAUCGUGCAGCAAGUGUUGCGCGAGCCUUCAUUAUCUCCGGAUCAUUUCGGCGCUCGCUUUCAGCCGUGAGGUUGAAUGCGGGUUGUAAAUGAUCCUUUCAGCGAAGCUUGACCGCCUCGCUGUCGGAACGAUCUUACGAAGCAAGCUGGUCUUUCUAGUCAAUGUCCGGCUGCGACAAUCGCAUUCAUCGAGGAUGCGUGCCUUUAAUGGCAGUUGCGCAGACAACAUUCUGCCGAGUGUGUGGACAUUGAUAAUGAGAGC
rnacentral:tRNA from 1 species